rnacentral:lncRNA from 1 species
AGGAGAUUUAGAAGAAAUGUGACCAAAGUCUUUACAGUUGACGCACAACAAGUGAGAAGAAGACCUUGGAAUUUUAGAAAUUCUACCCUGAUUUUUCAAGAUUGGAGAACCAUUAGAAGGGGAAGGUCCUAGAAGGGACUUAACGGGAGGAGGUGGGGCCAAUGAAGCCAAAUGAUGAUUAUAAAAAAUUUUAUCCUUAUUUUUCAAAAUUGGAGAAACAUCAGAUGGGGGAGGUCCUAGAAGGGACUUAACGGGAGGAAGUGGAGCCAAUGACACCGAAGGAUGAUUGUCAAUAUGCUUUCUACAUGGAGAAGAAGAUCUUGGACUAUCACGACCUUUACAAUUAUUUUUCCAAAUAGGAGGAACAUUAGACGGAGAAGGUUUUAUGAUAGACUUAUGAUGAGGCGACGCUAAUGAGAUGGGUGAACGAAGACGACCAUGCUUUUCAUAUGGAGUACUAAUAAUCAACUCAUAAUCUCGAGCUAAAGAGUAAGCAUGAUCAAGAGUAGUGACACCUCGAAGGAAAAGCUCGCGCUUAAGAUCAUCCCUCAGACCUUGGCUAAAC